UCUGGCUCAGGAACGCCACGCUCACUACGGCUGCACUACAGAGGAGAAAACUUGCUCUUAAAAAGUCAUCUAGAUGUUGUCAUCUUUUGAGUCACAGUAGACCUGAAAUUACAUCUGACCACUUUGCGGGAAUAUACACUGGAACUGUAAUCCCUGGAGGAGGUAGCAAUCACCUAACUUUAGGGUACUGAUUAAGUGCACUUGUUUGCAGUAGUGUUGCUGUUACUUAAAAUCAUUGCAAAACAAAAAGUACAGAAAAAGAAGGUUAUGCAAAAUUUAGAUAUGAAGGAUUGGCACCAAUUAAUGAGUGUGAAUUUGAAUUGAAUUGUCUACACACCACAGGAGGCUGAACUGCAAUGACAGGAACAUAAAUUUACAGAAUUUGAACGUAUAGUCAUUGUGUGCAUACCUUAUGUGAAGUAUGUUAAAAAGCUCAGGAUGAAAGAUGACAUCUACUUCCUGGACAUUGUGGCUAGAUCGAAGUGGAUAGAUUUUGAAGUGGAUACGAGAGCUUUGUAACGCACACAGGAAGUGAACUCUAUUGUGAGCACUGGAAGGGCUCUGAGGGUGAGUGGCCUGUCAUUAAGCUGUUGAGGCUGAACUCUAGGUCUCUUUGAAGCUUUCUGACCCCACAGGGUGGGACAGCUCUGUUCAACUGCAAGCGCCCCCACCCAGACAGAGCUGCCGAUGGAAUUGCCUGAGAGGAAGUGACUAUUUAUACCCGCUAAGGAACAGAGAGGCACCCUUCCGAUGGGCGUCUCUCCUCUUGCUUCCUUUGACAAAUGCAUUAGGAUUGCUCUCAUGAAAGCUAAACCCAACUCCACAAAGAUAUGCACAACAUCCAGUGCUCUCAAAGAGUGCAUUUCCAUACUCUGGUCACACUAAGUGGGGGAAAAAAAACAGCAUGAAAUGUUAAAAUAGACUGACACCCUCUGAUCCAGCUUUUCCUGUCAACUGGAGGAGUCGAAACAACUGAAGUAUGAAAACAAAGACAUCAUUUAUUAUUAGUUUCACAUCUUCCCUUCUUGCUGUGCUCUUUGAACUGACUCAGCAAAUUCUUCUCAUGAUGCCAGAGUACUUUUCAUCUAACUGCAAGAGAACAACUGAAUUUACACCAAGUUCCUUUCAAAUGUUUCGAACAAUAAUCUCACCCCACAGGUGGAACGGCAAUGGGAAGGUGAAGCAAGAAGUUGG
ensembl:lncRNA